GAUGAACGCUAGCGGCAGGCCUAAUACAUGCAAGUCGAGGGGUAUGGGUUGCUUGCCACCCAGAGACCGGCGCACGGGUGCGUAACGCGUAUGCAAUCUACCUUAAUCAGGGGGAUAGCCCGGAGAAAUCCGGAUUAACACCGCAUAACAUUGAGUUGUGGCAUCACAGUUCAAUCAAAUAUUUAUAGGAUUAAGAUGAGCAUGCGUGACAUUAGUUAGUUGGUGAGGUAACGGCUCACCAAGACCACGAUGUCUAGGGGAUCUGAGAGGAUGACCCCCCACACUGGUACUGGGCCACGGACCAGACUCCUACGGGAGGCAGCAGUAAGGAAUAUUGGUCAAUGGGCGCAAGCCUGAACCAGCCAUGCCGCGUGCAGGAAGACGGCCCUAUGGGUUGUAAACUGCUUUUGUACCGGAAUAAACCUUCUCUAGCGAGAGAAGCUGAACGUACGGUAAGAAUAAGGAUCGGCUAACUCCGUG
rnacentral:rRNA from 1 species